rnacentral:rRNA from 1 species
UACGGGGGGGGCAAGCGUUGUUCGGAAUUACUGGGCGUAAAGGGCUCGUAGGCGGCCAACUAAGUCAGACGUGAAAUCCCUCAGCUUAACUGGGGAACUGCGUCUGAUACUGGCAAGCUUGAGUGCAGGAGAGGAACGCGGAAUUCCAGGUGUAGCGGUGAAAUGCGUAGAUAUCUGGAGGAACACCGGUGGCGAAGGCGGCGUUCUGGACUGCAACUGACACUGAGAGACGAAAGCCAGGGGAGCAAACGGG